UACGAGUGCUCCAAGCGUUAUCCGGAAUUAUUGGGCGUAAAGAGCUCGUAGGCGGUUUGUCGCGUCUGCCGUGAAAGUCCGGGGCUCAACUCCGGAUCUGCGGUGGGUACGGGCAGACUAGAGUGCAGUAGGGGAGACUGGAAUUCCUGGUGUAGCGGUGAAAUGCGCAGAUAUCAGGAGGAACACCGAUGGCGAAGGCAGGUCUCUGGGCUGUAACUGACGCUGAGGAGCGAAAGCAUGGGGAGCGAACAGG
rnacentral:rRNA from 1 species